rnacentral:lncRNA from 1 species
GUCAACAACAAAUCCCUGAUUGAAGGACUGAUUUUCUAAAUAAUAAUUGAGUCUUGGAAUUUGUAAAUAUAAUUUUUCAACAAUUUUUCAACCACAGAAUCUUGACUUUAAAAAUUGUUUUUGAAAACUAUAUACCUUGGAUAUACACUUGAUAUACGUUAUGUAUACCAGAGUAUACUAGAAUUGAAAACUUACUUCAAAAUUCAUUUUGGUUGAAAUAAAAACGUUAAAAUUAUUUUGUUUGAAGUAUAUUAAAAAUAUUUACGAUAUAAGUCGGUCAAGAUAUUUGAAAAUGGUAGAUUUUGUGAUAUAAGUAAUUUAAUAAAAUGAUUUUAUGAGAGAGCCAAUAUUAGAAAUAAGUCGUUGAGUCAAGAUUACAAAAUAAAAUGACUCAACAAUAAACACAACUAUAAUCUUCGUUGCGAUUCUUGGUUCCGCACUGAUUUCUUGUACUUGAUUGUUAAUGUUUCAUCCUCGUUGGUUGGUUUGGCAUUUAUCAAAACCUACAUAGAUCAACACACGUUAGUUCGAGAACGUGUUUUCAACAAUUUCCCCCUUUUUGAUAAUGGCAAACAAGUAUCGGAAUAUGCAUAUUAAUAACAGUUCAAUGACAGUAUGCAUAAAAGUUCAAGAUAUAUGUUCCCCCUAAAUAUAAGAUAUAUGUUCCCCCUAAAUAUAAGAUUCCCCCUAAAUUUAUGCAACAAAUAAUUAGAGACUUGCAACAUCAUAUAUCAUAAACAUGCAUAUAUCUUCCCCCUUUAAAGAGUGCAUGUAGACAUGUAAAUAUGCAUAUAUCCUAAUCUUCCCAAGGCAUAGAAAAUAUCCCCUUUAUCUUCUAAUGCAUGAACAAGAUAGAUAUGCAUAUACCGUUAAUCUUCCCCCUUUUGACAUUAACAAAAAGGUUUGAAAAAGAUUAGGUCACAAGUUGUACAACUUCCCCCUUUUGACAUAAAUAAAAGGUGGUUAGAGAAAAAUAUAAUUCCCCUUUUUGACAAGUUGCAUAACUUUCCCCUUUUGACAAAAAUAACAAGAUAAAUUCACAUAAGAGUAAUUGGAGAAACAUUUCAAAAAUAUAUUUCAAAUAAUGAAAAUAUAACAACAAAAUUAUUCUUCAUCGUCAUUUUCUUCUCCCAUGUUGUCCGGCGCUGUUUCAAAUGGAACAAGAGAGCACCGUAUGGAUAAUUGAAGUGGUCAAAAUACCCAUGGAUUUCGACACUAAGUCUUCGCACAAUUCUUUGUGUGCUAGACACAAUUUAAUCAAUUUGAUUGAUUGAAAUUGAUGGAGAAACAAGAUGAUCAAAGAAGUUUGAGAUACAUCUCGUUGAGCAUGAGGACGACGAGCUUGAGUUUGGAGGAGGAGGAUUUGGAAUUUGAUCAUAUUAUUGAUUAUACACAAAAGAGGUCUCUUGAAUUUUUCAAUGUUUGGUAUGAGUUUUCUUAAAACCAACAUUGGUAUGAGAUGCUUCGAGUAUUCCUUCGACAUGGUCUAAUAAUCGAUGUCUUGUCCAUCACGAGGAAAAUUUGUGAUGGUUUGAAUAUUUUCUUAAGAAGAAUAGGAAUACUAUUAAUACGAGUAGAAAGGACUCUACUUUCAUCAUUCUUAAGAUUCGAAUAAGAUGCUUGAAUCAAAAGAGAAGGAAUGAAAUCAUACUUCAAAUAAAUAAGGUUAAGAGUCGAACUUUGGAGAAGUACAUUGGAAUGGAAAAAUCCGCGAGAAAUCUAGCGGUUGUGAAUCGAGGUGAAAGAAUGACUCGAUUUUCAAAUAUUUGAACAGUAAACGUUGAAGUUCGAUUUUAUGUUCGAAUCAAAGAGCCGAACCAUCAUCAUAACUGAAAAUUGAUGGAUUUGUAUUGGAAAAAAGUAAUAUUCUUUCCGGCACGAGAAGGCUUAGAACUUCUAUUUGCCAUUGAAGAUUGCAGGCAAGUAGGACUAUUGGAAGAGUCUAAUAUGAAGACUUUUGAAAGAGAAUUCUUUGAACGAGAAUGAUUAUGCCUAUUUUGAACUGACAAGAUGACAAUUGGUUACUGUCAAGUUCAGAAUUCAGAACGGUAAUAAAUUUUUAAUGUUUACCGUUGGACAAUCGAUUGUGAGAAUGGACAAUCGAUUGUUGACUGUUUUGAUAGUUUCUGAAAAAUUGGCAAGAGAAAAAGUUCAGAAACUCAGAAAAACACGGACAAUCGAUUGUGGCCUAUAACAAUCGAUUGUAGACAAGGUCAAAAACGUUUUAAGUCCUGAAAAUUGAUUAUGGAAGUAUGCCAAUCAAUUUUGAAUAUAUGAUAAUCAAUUAUGGAAGUAUGACAAUUGAUUUUAGGAGUAUGAUAAUCGAUUUUGGAUAUAUGACAAUCGAUUAUAGAUGAGACAAUGCCAUCAACAUAUGGUAGAAGAUAAUGAUUUAAAAAAACAUUUUUAAGAAAAUAUUUUAUAAAAGAUCAAUACAUAUAAUCAAUACCAAUUGUUAUAAAUAUCAAUUGUUUCAAUUGUUAUAAAAGCAAAACUUAGCACAUAUAGUCAAAUAUUUCAUUUUAUCAAAAUACCAACAAUUGAAUAACUGUUAAUCACAACUAUAUUCCCCCUAUCUAUGAGGAUAUCUCUGCA